UUCAAUUUUGUUGUCAGUCAUUCAAAAAUCUUAUGACUUCUGUGGUUUCUUUUAUCUUUACAAACUUUCCACAGCCGAGUCGUUUUGCGAAGACACUCGUAAUGCCGAAUUUGCGCCAAGCAGUUGACAAUGUCGCAAAGUGAGAGUGGCGCGAGCUGCUUUCGGCAAAAUCACACACAAAUUUAUGAUGUAAUAAUACGAUUACCUUUUUAUCACGUAAAUUUCUCUCUGCCAACUUAUUUGUACACAUAUUCCCACUUUAAUUUAUACUUUUGAUAAGAUGGAGAUUUUAAAUCGUACAAAUAUAAACAAGAAAUAUAUGUGUGUCGGAUUAGUUCAGCCACUCUGCUAAAGAAAGGAUAAUUGACACUUCCACAGGCGCUUACAAUGAGGUUCGACGUCUUCAAAAUUUUUUGGUGGUCUUCCAUGUUCUUCAAUGCUCACAUCAUUCUCAUUAUCUGUAAACCGCUGAAAC